GAUGAAGAACGCAGCGAAAUGCGAUAAGUAAUGUGAAUUGCAGAAUUCAGUGAAUCAUCGAAUCUUUGAACGCACAUUGCGCCCGCCAGUAUUCUGGCGGGCAUGCCUGUUCGAGCGUCAUUUCAACCAUCGAGCCCCCGGCUUGUGUUGGGGACCUGCGGCUGCCGCAGGCCCUGAAAACCAGUGGCGGGCUCGCUGUCACACCGAGCGUAGUAGAUUUUCAUCUCGCUCAGGGCGUGCUGCGGGUUCCGGCCGUAAAAAGCCUUAUUUACCCAAGGUUGACCUCGGAUCAGGUAGGAAGACCCGCUGAACUUAAGCAUAUCAAUAGGCGGAGGA
rnacentral:misc_RNA from 1 species